CUGCUGCCUUCCGUAGGAGUUUGGGCCGUGUCUCAGUCCCAAUGUGGCCGGUCACCCUCUCAGGUCGGCUACUGAUCGUCGCCUUGGUGGGCUGUUAUCUCACCAACUAGCUAAUCAGAUGCGGGCCCAUCUUUUACCGAAUAAAUCCCUUCUUUCCUAGAAGAUGCCUUCCAAGAACCGUAUGCGGUAUUAGUCACCGUUUCCAGUGAUUAUUCCCCAGUAAAAGGCAGGUUACCCACACGUUACUCACCCGUCCGCCGCUAAAAUAA
rnacentral:rRNA from 1 species